CUGUUUUAGGGCAGAAUCUUGGUGAGUCAAAAUCAAGGGGAAUCUGUGUGGAAGAUGAGGAGGAAUAUGUUUUUCAAGUUCAACGACGGUGGGGCAAUUUACUGGGAAGUGCUUUCAGCAUCAUUUAGCUUUCAACUAUACCAUAAGCGUAAGAAACACAGCAGCUUUAGGUACCUCAAAAGUUUGGAUGAUAAGUGUUGCACAAAGUGAUGGGAUCGUCCAUUCCAUCCCCUAGUCAUGAUCAUUCAAGGCAGUUGAGCAUUGCUUUGCAUCAGUUUUCAGAAGAGCUAAACAUGUAAUGUGUUCACCUCAUGAAAAGCAUGAACUUAUUCA